rnacentral:rRNA from 1 species
CUAGCGACUUCAGAGUUUGAUCCUGGCUCAGGAUGAACGCUGGCGGCGUGCCUAACACAUGCAAGUCGAACGUGAUAAGUUAGCAAUAACUUUGAAAGUGGCGAACGGGUGAGUAACACGUGGAUAACCUGCCGCGCAGAGGGGGAUAACGACUGGAAACGGUCGCUAAUACCGCAUGGUACUGUUGAGAUGGGAAUCUUAAUGGUUAAAACCUUGGUGCUGCGUGAGGGGUCUGCGUCCGAUUAGUUAGUUGGUGGGGUAAAGGCCUACCAAGACGAUGAUCGGUAGCUAGUCUGAGAGGAUGAUUAGCCACACGGGAACUGAGACACGGUCCCG